GAUGAACGCUGGCGGCGUGCCUAAUACAUGCAAGUCGAGCGAACAGACGAGGAGCUUGCUCUUCUGACGUUAGCGGCGGACGGGUGAGUAACACGUGGAUAACCUACCUAUAAGACUGGGAUAACUUCGGGAAACCGGAGCUAAUACCGGAUAAUAUAUUGAACCGCAUGGUUCAAUAGUGAAAGACGGUUUUGCUGUCACUUAUAGAUGGAUCCGCGCCGCAUUAGCUAGUUGGUAAGGUAACGGCUUACCAAGGCGACGAUGCGUAGCCGACCUGAGAGGGUGAUCGGCCACACUGGAACUGAGACACGGUCCAGACUCCUACGGGAGGCAGCAGUAGGGAAUCUUCCGCAAUGGGCGAAAGCCUGACGGAGCAACGCCGCGUGAGUGAUGAAGGUCUUCGGAUCGUAAAACUCUGUUAUUAGGGAAGAACAAAUGUGUAAGUAACUAUGCACGUCUUGACGGUACCUAAUCAGAAAGCCACGGCUAACUACGUG
rnacentral:rRNA from 1 species